GUGGGGAAUAUUGGGCAAUGGGCGCAAGCCUGACCCAGCAACGCCGCGUGAGGGAAGAAGGCUUUCGGGUUGUAAACCUCUGUCCUUGGUGACGAAAAAAAUGACGGUAGCCAAGGAGGAAGCCCCGGCUAACUACGUGCCAGCAGCCGCGGUAAUACGUAGGGGGCGAGCGUUGUCCGGAAUUACUGGGCGUAAAGGGUGCGUAGGUGGCCUUUUAAGUUGGAUGUGAAAUACCCGGGCUUAACGUGGGGGGUGCAUCCAAAACUGGGAGGCUAGAGUGCAGGAGAGGAAAGCGGAAUUCCUAGUGUAGCGGUGAAAUGCGUAGAUAUUAGGAGGAACACCAGUGGCGAAGGCGGCUUUCUGGACUGUAACUGACACUGAGGCACGAAAGCGUGGGGAGCAAACAGGAUUAGAAACCCCUGUAGUCC
rnacentral:rRNA from 1 species